rnacentral:rRNA from 1 species
UUGGGCGUAAGAGCUCGUAGGCGGUUUGUCGCGUCUGCCGUGAAAGUCCGGGGCUCAACUCCGGAUCUGCGGUGGGUACGGGCAGACUAGAGUGAUGUAGGGGAGACUGGAAUUCCUGGUGUAGCGGUGAAAUGCGCAGAUAUCAGGAGGAACACCGAUGGCGAAGGCAGGUCUCUGGGCAUUAACUGACGCUGAGGAGCGAAAGCAUGGGGAGCGAACAGGAUUAGAUACCCUGGUAGUCCAUGCCGUAAACGUUGGGCACUAGGUGUGGGGGACAUUCCACGUUUUCCGCGCCGUAGCUAACGCAUUAAGUGCCCCGCCUGGGGAGUACGGCCGCAAGGCUAAAACUCAAAGGAAUUGACGGGGGCCCGCACAAGCGGCGGAGCAUGCGGAUUAAUUCGAUGCAACGCGAAGAACCUUACCAAGGCUUGACAUGAACCGGAAAUACCUGGAGACAGGUGCCCCGCUUGCGGUCGGUUUACAGGUGGUGCAUGGUUGUCGUCAGCUCGUGUCGUGAGAUGUUGGGUUAAGUCCCGCAACGAGCGCAACCCUCGUUCUAUGUUGCCAGCACGUGAUGGUGGGGACUCAUAGGAGACUGCCGGGGUCAACUCGGAGGAAGGUGGGGACGACGUCAAAUCAUCAUGCCCCUUAUGUCUUGGGCUUCACGCAUGCUACAAUGGCCGGUACAAAGGGUUGCGAUACUGUGAGGUGGAGCUAAUCCCAAAAAGCCGGUCUCAGUUCGGAUUGGGGUCUGCAACUCGACCCCAUGAAGUCGGAGUCGCUAGUAAUCGCAGAUCAGCAACGCUGCGGUGAAUACGUUCCCGGGCCUUGUACACACCGCCCGUCAAGUCACGAAAGUUGGUAACACCCGAAGCCGGUGGCCUAACCCCUUGUGGGAGGGAGCUGUCGAAGUGGGACUG